rnacentral:rRNA from 1 species
CCUACGGGCGGCAGCAGUGGGGAAUAUUGCACAAUGGGGGAAACCCUGAUGCAGCGACGCCGCGUGAGUGAAGAAGUAUUUCGGUAUGUAAAGCUCUAUCAGCAGGGAAGAAAAUGACGGUACCUGACUAAGAAGCCCCGGCUAACUACGUACCAGCAGCCGCGGUAAUACGUAGGGGGCAAGCGUUAUCCGGAUUUACUGGGUGUAAGGGGAGCGUAGACGGCUGCGCAAGUCUGAAGUGAAAGCCCGGGGCUCAACCCCGGGACUGCUUUGGAAACUGUGUAGCUAGAGUGCUGGAGAGGCAAGCGGAAUUCCUAGUGUAGCGGUGAAAUGCGUAGAUAUUAGGAAGAACACCAGUGGCGAAGGCGGCUUGCUGGACAGUAACUGACGUUGAGGCUCGAAAGCGUGGGGAGCAAACAGGAUUAGAUACCCGGGUAGUC